AGAGUUUGAUUAUGGCUCAGAUUGAACGCUGGCGACAUGCUUAACACAUGCAAGUCGAACGGCAGCGCGGGGAGCUUGCUCCCUGGCGGCGAGUGGCGGACGGGUGAGUAUAACAUAGGAAUUUGCCUUGAAGUGGGGGACAACUUGAGGAAACUCAAGCUAAUACCGCAUACACCUUUCGGGGGAAAGCAUGGGAUCUUCGGACCAUGCGCUUUAAGAGAAGCCUAUGCCGGAUUAGCUAGUUGGUGGGGUAAAGGCCUACCAAGGCGAUGAUCCGUAGCUGGUCUGAGAGGAUGAUCAGCCACACUGGGACUGAGACACGGCCCAGACUCCUACGGGAGGCAGCAGUGGGGAAUAUUGGACAAUGGGCGAAAGCCUGAUCCAGCAAUGCCGCGUGUGUGAAGAAGGCCUGCGGGUUGUAAAGCACUUUCGUGGGGGAGGAAGGCAUCAGUUUUAAUAAAACUGAUGAUUGACGUUACCCCAAGAAGAAGCACCGGCUAACUCUGUGCCAGCAGCCGCGGUAAUACAGAGGGUGCAAGCGUUAAUCGGAAUUACUGGGCGUAAAGGGUGUGUAGGUGGUAAAGUAAGUUAGGUGUGAAAUCCUUGGGCUUAACCUAAGAAUUGCGCUUAAUACUGUUUUACUCGAGUACUACAGAGGGUAGUGGAAUUUCCAGUGUAGCGGUGAAAUGCGUAGAUAUUGGAAGGAACACCAGUGGCGAAGGCGACUACCUGGAUAGAUACUGACACUGAGACACGAAAGCG
rnacentral:rRNA from 1 species